UGUAUGGGCACAUUUACACUUGGUAUUAAAAUGGGUUCUCAUUAUGUAGAUUCUGCCUGCAUUGUGAUCUCAAUAUGAGAAUUAGUUAGGCGGGGCUGGUGGACAAGUCACUAGACAUGGAGCAUUCCAGGUCAAGCAAGUAGAAUGAUGAUAUGGUACCAACGUGUUUUCUGCUGUCUGACUGCGCACACAUCCUUGAUAGAUAGAGUGUUGGGUUCUGGUUUGUGCUGAUUCACAGUAGAUGCGGCUGAGACAGCAUGGCCUGGUAACAGCGACUGGGUCAGGACAGAUAAAGAUGAAUUUCCUUCCAAAAGCAGGCAUAGCAGGAAAAGUGUGCAGCCAGCUGAUAGUGUCGGCUCUAUUUGCACAUUCACUUGAAAUUCUCCAGAACUAAUAGAUUCUACCAGAUUCAACUAACUCAAUACUGCUGAUCUGCAGCUUAUUACAGCCAACCAGCCAACUAGCUAAUCAUUCAACCAACCAGCCAACCAAGGAACUGAACUGUAAAUAUAAUAUGAAUAUGAGGUCUGCAUCUGAAAUGUAAUCUAUAAAGUCAAUCCUUUAUUAUUGUUUUACGAUCAGCUGAGGCAAUGCAGAAAGCUUAAUAACAUCUCCUGGAGGACUGCCUGCUGCACGGCAAAUACACUCCAUCUCAACAGAAUGUAUUAAUCUUGUAUAUUGCUGUGGUCAGAUAAACAUAUACCUUGCCUUCACAAUGCAGAAGGAAAAAAAAUAUUUUCAGGUGUGAAGAACAGCAUUCAUGUCAUGUACCAUGGAAUAAUACAGUAGAUUACAGCAUUCAUGACUCAACACAUAAAUGAAGUCACACGUGAAAAUCGAUGUGUGAUUCUUAAUUGAACUCAGUGUGCUUUUGUACAUGUGCUUCUUGGAAAUGUAUUGGUGCCCAACAAAAUGACAGUUCAGCUAUUCUUAGAUCCAAAGCUGCACUUGUAAAUGAAAGAGUGAAUAAACCCAAGACUUGAAAUAAAAUAAAACAAAUAAAGCGAACAUGGAGAAAGUUAUAGUAGU